rnacentral:rRNA from 1 species
CCUACGGGAUGCAGCAGUGGGGAAUUUUCCGCAAUGGGCGAAAGCCUGACGGAGCAAUGCCGCGUGGAGGUAGAAGGCCCACGGGUCGUGAACUUCUCUUCCCGGAGAAGAAGCAAUGACGGUGUCUGGGGAAUAAGCAUCGGCUAACUCUGUGCCAGCAGCCGCGGUAAUACAGAGGAUGCAAGCGUUAUCCGGAAUGAUUGGGCGUAAAGCGUCUGUAGGUGGCUUUUUAAGUCCGCCGUCAACUCCCAGGGCUCAACCCUGGACAGGCGGUGGAAACUACCAAGCUGAAGUACGGUAGGGGCAGAGGGAAUUUCCGGUGGAGCGGUGAAAUGCGUAGAGAUCAGAAAGAACACCAACGGCGAAAGCACACUGCUGGGCCGACACUGACACUGAGAGACGAAAGCUAGGGGAGCGAAUGGGAUUAGAUACCCUCGUAGAC